ACGAACGCUGGCGGCGUGCCUAAUACAUGCAAGUCGAACGGUCUUUCUAUGGAAGCUUGCUUCCACUGAGAAGAUAGUGGCGAACGGGUGAGUAACACGUGGGUAACCUGCCCAUAAGAGGGGGGAUAACAUCCGGAAACGGGUGCUAAUACCGCAUAGUUUUCUUGAUCGCAUGAUUGGGAAAGGAAAGACGGCCUUUGUGCUGUCGCUUAUGGAUGGACCCGCGGCGUAUUAGUUAGUUGGUGAGGUAACGGCUCACCAAGACGAUGAUACGUAGCCGACCUGAGAGGGUGAUCGGCCACAUUGGGACUGAGACACGGCCCAAACUCCUACGGGAGGCAGCAGUAGGGAAUCUUCCGCAAUGGACGAAAGUCUGACGGAGCAACGCCGCGUGAGUGAAGAAAAGGGUUUUCGGAUCGUAAAACUCUGUUGUCAGAGAAGAACAAGUUGGAGAGUAACUGCUCCAGCCUUGACGGUAUCUGACCAGAAAGCCACGGCUAACUACGUGCCAGCCGCAGC
rnacentral:rRNA from 1 species